rnacentral:rRNA from 1 species
UAGGGGUUGGUAGAGGAAGGUCCCCCACAGAGGAAGUGCGACAUGGUCCAGAAUCCUACGGGAGGCAGCAGUGAGGAAUAUUGGGCAAUGGUCGGAAGAGUGAUCCAGCCAUGGCGGAAGACGGUUACGGUCUUAAGGAUUUUAAAAUUUUUUCGUAGGGAAGCAAUAAGGUGCAGGUGAGUCUGGAUGAGAGUCCCAUAAGAAUAAGCAUGGGCUAACUCCGUCCCCGCAGCCGCGGUAAUAGGGAGGAUGCGAGCGUUCUCGGGAUUUAUUGGGUAAAAAGGGGGUGUAGGGGGAUUAAUAAGUCAGCGGUGAAACUCACAGUCUCAACUUGUGCGGCAGGGGAGAAACUGUUUAUGGAGAAUGCGGAUGGAGGGGGAGGAACGUGUAGUGUAGCGGGAAAAUGCAUAGAUAUUACACAGAACACCGAUUGAGAAGGCAUCUCACAAAGCCAUGAUUGACGAUGAGGCACGAAAGUGUGGGGAUCAAACAGGAUUAGAUACCCUGGUAGUCCACACAAAAAAGAUGCUAACUGGUGCCGUCGAAAUAUAGUCGGGGCCCAGCGAAA